rnacentral:rRNA from 1 species
CAGUAGCCGCGGGAAAACGUAGGGUGCGAGCGUUAAUCGGAAUUACUGGGCGUAAAGCGUGCGCAGGCGGUUCGGAAAGAGAGAUGUGAAAUCCCAGGGCUUAACCUUGGAACUGCAUUCUUAACUACCGGACUAGAGUGUGUCAGAGGGAGGUGGAAUUCCGCGUGUAGCAGUGAAAUGCGUAGAGAUGCGGAGGAACACCGAUGGCGAAGGCAGCCUCCUGGGAUAACACUGACGCUCAUGCACGAAAGCGUGGGGAGCAAAUAGGAUUAGAUACCCCAGUAGUCCCUGUCUCUUAUAC